GACGAACGCUGGCGGCGUGCUUAACACAUGCAAGUCGAACGAGACGAUUGAAAGCUUGCUUUUGAAAGUCGAGUGGCAAACGGGUGAGUAACGCGUAGACAACCUGCCUUUGAGAUGGGGACAACAGUUCGAAAGGACUGCUAAUACCGAAUGUUGUAUAUUUUCCACAUGGAAGAUAUAUUAAAGAUGGCCUCUAUUUAUAAGCUAUCGCUCAAAGAUGGGUCUGCGUCUGAUUGGCUGGUUGGUGGGGUAACGGCCUACCAAGGCGACGAUCAGUAGGCGGGCUGAGAGGAUGAACGGCCACAUUGGGACUGAGACACGGCCCAGACUCCUACGGGAGGCAGCAGUGGGGUAUCUUCCACAAUGGACGAAAGUCUGAUGGAGCAACGCCGCGUGAGUGAAGAAGGGUUUCGGCCCGUAAAGCUCUGUUGUCGGGGACGAAUGUGCAGUAUUUGAAUAAAGUACUGUAAUGAUGGUACCUGACGAGGAAGCCACGGCUAACUACGUGCCAGCCGCCGCCGUAA
rnacentral:rRNA from 1 species